GAUGAACGCUGGCGGUAUGCCUAACACAUGCAAGUCGUACGGGAGUUUUUAACUCUAGUGGCGGACGGGUGAGUAACACGUGAGAAUUUGCCUUUAGGAGGGGGACAACAGUUGGAAACGACUGCUAAUACCCCAUAUGCUUUCGAGUGAAAUGGAUUUAUAUUUAUCCGCCUAGAGAGAAGCUCGCGGCUGAUUAGCUUGUUGGUAAGGUAAGAGCUUACCAAGGCGACGAUCAGUAUCUGGUUUGAGAGGACGAUCAGACACACUGGAACUGAGACACGGUCCAGACUCCUACGGGAGGCAGCAGUGGGGAAUUUUCCGCAAUGGGCGAAAGCCUGACGGAGCAAUACCGCGUGAGGGAAGACUGCCUAUGGGUUGUAAACCUCUUUUUCAGGGAGGAAUCAAUGACGUGUACCUGAAGAAUAAGCAUCGGCUAACUCCGUG
rnacentral:rRNA from 1 species